UACGUAGGGUGCGAGCGUUAAUCGGAAUUACUGGGCGUAAAGCGUGCGCAGGCGGUUUUGUAAGUCAGAUGUGAAAUCCCCGGGCUCAACCUGGGAACUGCGUUUGAAGCUACAAGGCUAGAGUGUAGCAGAGGGGGGUGGAAUUCCACGUGUAGCAGUGAAAUGCGUAGAGAUGUGGAGGAACACCGAUGGCGAAGGCAGCCCCCUGGGUUAACACUGACGCUCAGGCACGAAAGCGUGGGGAGCAAACAGG
rnacentral:rRNA from 1 species